rnacentral:misc_RNA from 1 species
UCACAACAGCGGACUUCGGUCCUUGCUGCACCCUUGUCUUUUGCGCACCGUAUUGUUUCCUCGGCGGGCUUGCCUGCCGGUUGGACAUUAUCAAAACCUUUUUGUAGUUGCAAUCAGCGUCAGAAAAACAAUAAUUAUUA